UACGAAGGGGGCGUAGCGUUGCUCGGAAUCACUGGGCGUAAAGCGCACGUAGGCGGAUUGUUAAGUCAGGGGUGAAAUCCUGGAGCUCAACUCCAGAACUGCCUUUGAUACUGGCGAUCUCGAGUCCGGGAGAGGUGAGUGGAACUGCGAGUGUAGAGGUGAAAUUCGUAGAUAUUCGCAAGAACACCAGUGGCGAAGGCGCUCACUGGCC
rnacentral:rRNA from 1 species